rnacentral:rRNA from 1 species
CUGAACCAGCCAAGUAGCGUGAAGGAUGAAGGCUCUAUGGGUCGUAAACUUCUUUUAUAUAAGAAUAAAGUGCAGUAUGUAUACUGUUUUGUAUGUAUUAUAUGAAUAAGGAUCGGCUAACUCCGUGCCAGCAGCCGCGGUAAUACGGAGGAUCCGAGCGUUAUCCGGAUUUAUUGGGUUUAAAGGGAGCGUAGGUGGAUUGUUAAGUCAGUUGUGAAAGUUUGCGG